CAGCCGCGUAAUUCCAGCUCCAAUAGCGUAUAUUAAAGUUGUUGCAGUUAAAAAGCUCGUAGUUGAAUUUCGGGAUUGACACAUCGGUCGUGCCUUAAGGGGCAUGAACUGGUGUAGUCAAUUUCUCACCUUCUGGAGAACCGCGAUGCCCUUAAUUGGGUGUCGCGGGGAACCAGGACCUUUACUUUGAAAAAAUUAGAGUGUUUAAAGCAGGCAUUUUGCUUGAAUACAUUAGCAUGGAAUAAUAAAAUAGGACGGCAUGAUUCUAUUUUGUUGGUUUCUAGGAUCACCGUAAUGAUUAAUAGGGAUAGUUGGGGGCAUUAGUAUUCAAUUGUCAGAGGUGAAAUUCUUGGAUUGAUUGAAGACUAACUACUGCGAAAGCAUUUGCCAAGGAUGUUUUCAUUAAUCAAGAACGAAAGUUAGGGGAUCGAAGACGAUCAGAUACCGUCGUAGUCUUAACCAUAAACUAUGCCGACUAGGAAUCAGACGAUGUUAAUUUUUUAAUGACUCGUUUGGCACCUUACG
rnacentral:misc_RNA from 1 species